rnacentral:lncRNA from 1 species
GAGUGGAAGAAGACGGGCCAAAGGGGAGAAGAGAAGGGCAGGGCUUCACGGAAUCCGAGGAGAUCAAAGAAGACUAGGGCGUGCGAGCAGGGGCCGUCUGGCAAUAAACCGGCCAAUGGGGGACUGCAAAAGCGGCGCCUGGAGCCUAUGGAGACCGUGUGUGGCUGGUUAGAUUUUCAAACAAGAACUUAUAACCCAGCAAGAAUGGGCCUUUGCCUGGAGAAGAAUCCAGACCAUGGGAUGAAUCCCCAAAUGCUAUUUCCAUCUGUAGAGCCUAGAGCACCCACCCCUACCAAGGAAGUCUUCCCAGAUAAUUUGUGUUUCAUAUGUAAAAGCAAGUUUUUUUUUUCAAAUGCUCAAAACCCAAGCAAGUUAAGCCCUUCCUUCCUUCCUUCCUUCCUUUCUUUUCUCUCUCUCUCUCUUUCUUUCUCUCUCUCUCUCUUUCUUUCUUUUUUUUCUUUUUUAGACAGGGUCUGUGUCCCCUAGGCUGGAGUGCAGUGGUAUGAUCAUGACUCAUUGCAGCCUCAACCUCCCAGGCUCAAGUGAUCCUCCCGCUUCAGCCUCUGGAGUACCUGGGACUACUGGCAUACACCACCACGCCCAUCUAAUUUUUAAAAAAGUUUUUGUAGAGACAGAGUCUCACUAUGUUGCCCAGGCUGGUCUCAAACUCCUAGGCUUAAGUGAUUUGCCCACCUCGGCCUCCCAAAAUGCCGAGAUUAUAGGCAUGAGCCAGCACACCUGGCCAAGUUAAGCUUUUCUUUGCCCUUAGAACGAGAUAAUUGUAAAAUGAAAACAUUGAGAUUAGUUUUUUUGGUCUGUAAAUCUCAUGUUACAUAUAGUUUAAAUUACAUUGAGUGUGAUUGGAAUAGAUACUAGGUAGAAAAAUAUUAUCUAGUUAAUCUAUACCACUUUCCUGUGAAAAGAGAGAAAAGAAGACACAUAUUUAUUUAACAGAGAACACAAUUCUGAUGGGCUGGAGAUGAGUCUGUGUAAGUCUAUUAACUUAUAUUUCACAAAAAAGAAUUUUUUACUUAAAAAUGUAUUUCCAACUUUAUUUUUACAUUUCAAACCUACAGAAAAGUUGACAGUGAACACUCAUAUACCCUGCACUUAAGUUCGCCAGUUGUUUUAUUUUGAAUUUUUAAAAUUUUUUUAGAGGCAGGGUCUUGCUCUCUUGCCUAGGCUAGAAUGCAGUGGUGUGAUCUCGGUUCACUGCAACCUCUGCCACCGGGCUCAAGCAAUCCUCCCGCCUAAGCCUCCUGCAUAGCUGGGACUACAGGCAUGAGCCACCAUGCCCAGCUAAUUUUUUGUAGAAAUGGGGUUUCACCAUGUUGCCCAGGCUGGUCUCGAAUGCCUGAGCUCAAUCAGUUCGCCUAACUCGGCCUCCCAGGGUGCUGGGAUUACAGGCGUGAGCCACCAUGCCCGGCCUGGAUUCACUCGUUGUUAAUAUUUGAUCACAUUUGCUUUCUUUCCAGACCAUAGGAUAAUUGUUGACAUGGCUGCAUAGCAUUCCAUUCUUUGGAUGGCCUCAGAUUUUUGAGCCACUCCUCUGUCACUGGAUAUUUGAAUGUGUUCAGAUAUUUUCGUUGUUAUAACCAGGAUGGGAUAAGUCUUUGCUGUCAAAUUUUUGUGCGGAGCCAUGAUUAUUUCCUUGUGAUAAAUUCCUAGAAGUAGAAUUUAUAGAUUUUUUUUGAGACAGAGUCUCACUUUGUUGCCAAGGCUGGAGUGUAGUGGUGUGAUCUCUGCUCAUGGCAACCUCUGCCUCCUGGUUUCAAGUGAUUCUUCUGCUUCAGCCUCUGGAGUAGCUAGGACUACGGGCACACACUACCAUGCCGCCUAGCUAAUUUUUGUAUUUUUAAUAGACACAGGGUUUCACCAUGUUGGCCAGGCUGGUCUCGAACUUGUGGCCUCAAGUGAUCUGCCCACCUCGGCCUCCCAGGGCGCUGGGAUUACAGGCAUGAGCCACCUCACCCGGCUGAAUUUAUGGAUUUAAAGGAGGUCACUGCAUUGUAAAUCAAGUGUUGAGUGACAGUGGUACGCAUAACAGUGAACCUCCUCAUCUAAGCUCUAUAUCAGGGGUCAGCAAAUUAUGGCCCCUGGUUUGCUGACCCUUUACAGUUUCCUAUAGCCUGCAAACUAGGAAUACUAUUUACAUCUUUAAAGGGCUUUAGA